UCCAGAAGUGUGUCGCUGUGGUGCCAAGGUGUCAGUCUACUACCCAAGUUUCUCUUGCGCUACGAAGGUGUUUCUGUGGUGCCAAGUGUUGCCGCGGUGACAGAAUAUUGCCUUGGUAUCAGGGUGUUACUGAAGUGCGGAAGUGUCAUUGUGGAGGCUAGUGUUGCUUUGGAGUUAAGGAGGAGCUGUGUUGUCAAGGUGUUUCUAGUGCCAAGGUAUUGCUGUGGAGCCACUGUUGCUGUAGAACCAGUGUUGCUGUGGAACCAGUGUUGCUGUGGUGCCAAGUAUUGCUGUGGAGCCAGUGUUGCUGUGGAGCCAGUGUUGCUGUGGAGCCAGUGUUGCUGUGGAGCCAGUGUUGCUGUGGAGCCAGUAUUGCUGUGGUGCUACUGGCGUGAGUACAUCAAGUCCCUAAGCUUCCUGGUUACAGUCACCAUAGACGCUGUGUCAAUGUCACUAUACAGCCAAGAUGUGUUUGCCACACACCACCUGACUACCUACCGGGCUGCUGCAGGCGCUAAACAACUAGCGUCUUGAGAAAAUAAAAAAAAAAGGGAAAUAAAAGCAUCUGAGCGAACAGAAACUACAGGUGGUAAUGGACAGACAGGCAGGGUUCAUCACUCAGGUGACAGAGCACCUGCUGAUGCUGGUGAUGCUGCUGCUGGCGAUUACCUGCAUUCACCUGACACAGGGCAUCAUGCUGGUGCCCCAGGCACCGACUACCCACCUACCCGAGAUGGAGAGAAUGAUAGACAUGAGACAGUGCAGAGUAUUGGUAGAGUCAGUGCCAAGACUUUCCUCCCGUGUCCCUUCUCCUAAGGCACCCAAACCCCUCUCCUCUUCCAUAGCUACACCCAAAUCCCUCUCCUCGCUAGCUACACUCAAACCCCUCCCCCUAGCUACACCCAAACCCCCUUCCCUAGCUACACCCAAAUCCCCCUCCCUAGCUACACCCAAACCCCUCUCCCUAGCUACAUCCAAACCCCUCUUACCCUCUCUAGCUGGACCCAAACUACUUUCCUCCUCUCAAGCUAGACCCAAACCUCUCUCUUUCUCCCUAACUACACCGAAACCCCUUUCUUCCUCCUCCCGAGCUAGACCCAAACCCCUCUCCUCCUCCCUACCUACACUUAAACCCCUCUCCUCCUCUCUACCUACACUUAAACCCCUCUCCUCCUCCUCCUCCUUCCAAGCUGGACCCAAACCCCUCUCCUCCUCCCUACCUACACUUAAACCCCUCUCCUCCUCCUCCUCCUCCCAAGCUAGACCCAAACCCCUCUCCUCCUCCCUAUCUACAAUU